GCAGGAAUGGGCGGGAUAGUGUUCGACUCCCAGCCGAAAGGUACUGGGUUCGAUCCCCCGUGUCGACCUGCA